UCACUGGAUUCUAGAUCAGAAUACAAGAACAUGAGAUUGUGCUGUGCCCUUUCAAUACUGGAAGUCACUGGAUUCUUGUGAUCAUGAAAAUGUGUGAAAAUACUGUGGUCCUGAUUGAUCCACUGGGCGAGGAGGACAAGUAUAGCAGACGAAUUUUAAGAAACUGGAGGAGUUUCGUGAGAGCUAAUGUGGACACAGGAAACAAGACAGUUUGAAAAUUGCAGACUUUCAAACACCAACUUCAGAUGGAUGGCAGCAGUUGUGGUGUUCUGAUAUUAAGUUUUGCAGAACAGUACCUUACAAGUGGAUCAGUUGAUCAGGUGGAAACCAGCCCAGCAUCUAUAAGAGCACAAAGACUGGAGAUUGCUGGUAACACAUUACUGUGUGCAGGUUUAAAACAACUGGAAGACUACCAUGUAAUUUGAACACUUAUGAAUAUAUAGCAGAUUGAAUGAGCAACAUGAAAGGAAAGGACACAACAGUCCAGGACUGAACAACACAA